rnacentral:rRNA from 1 species
AGCAGCCGCGGUAAUUCCAGCUCCAAUAGCGUAUAUUAAAGUUGUUGCAGUUAAAAAGCUCGUAGUUGAAUUUCGGGAUCAAAGAAUCGGUCAUGCCUUGGUAUGUACUGGUUUUAUUGGUUCUCACCUUCUAAAGAACCAUGAUGUCAUUCAUUUGAUGUUAUGGGGAAUUAGGACUGUUACCUUGAAAAAUUAGAGUGUUUAAAGCAAGCUUACGCUUGAAUACAUUAGCAUGGAAUAAUGAAAUAGGACAUCAGAUUCUAUUUUGUUGGUUUCUAGGAUCGAUGUAAUGAUUAAUAGGGAUAGUUGGGGGCAUUAGUAUUCAAUUGUCAGAGGUGAAAUUCUUGGAUUUAUUGAAGACUAACUACUGCGAAAGCAUUUGCCAAGGAUGUUUUCAUUAAUCAAGAACGAAAGUUAGGGGAUCGAAGACGAUCAGAUACCGUCGUAGUCUUAACCAUAAACUAUGCCGACUAGG